rnacentral:lncRNA from 1 species
CAAUAUUUUACUCAAACAUCAAUCUGCAGUUGUUAGAUAUGGAUUAUAAAGCAAACUCCAGUUCUCAGGUAGUGUUAGAAGUGCAAUUCAUUAUUCAUUUACGGAAGAUGAAACCAUAAGACAGUAAUCUUUUUAUUUAUUUUACUGUACAACAUGACUUAAUUCACAUUUUAUUUUUUAAUAAUUAUUACAUAUACUGAGUUGGAAUAUUUUUAUAUGGAUAAUGUGAGUAUGGAAAUCUGUAUUUU